GCUGGGUGUGGUGGCGUGUGCCUGUAGUCCCAGCUACUUGGGAGGCUGAGGUGGGAGAGACACCUGAGCCCAGGGAGGUUGAGGGUGCAGUGAGCUGUGAUCACACCACUGCACUCCAGCCUGGGCAACACAGUGAGAUCCUGUCUCAA
rfam:Gorilla gorilla gorilla genomic chromosome, chr16, whole genome shotgun sequence